rnacentral:tRNA from 1 species
GUUUUAAUAGUUUAAUUUAAAAAACAUUGGUCUUGUAAACCAAAAAUAAAAAAUUUUUUUAAAACA